rnacentral:tRNA from 1 species
AAAUAAGAAACAAAGUUUUGUAAUUAGUUUCGACCUAAUAUUUUGAUGAUAUACCAUCCUUAUUUA